CUCUCUCUCUCCCUCUCCCCUCACUGCUCCUCUCCUCCCUUCCUGCCUUCUCUCUCUCUCCUUCAGCAUCCCCCCCACCCUCUUUCUUCCUCUUCCCUUCCCGCUCUCUCCUCCCUCUCUCCCCCUCCCGCUCUCUCCUCCCUCUCCCUCCAAGUCUGGCACUGAAGGAACUGUUUUGCUUUGCUCCGGGAAGAGUGCAGACACAUAUCGUGAAAUCCCGAGCUUUUUGCGUGGUGCAUUUAAAAUGCUUCCUUAUUUAUAUUACCCUCAUUCCCUCACCUCUCCCACCCCCUCAGCAGUCCUUCCAAAUUUCCCUAGAAAUCUGUGUAAAGCAUGCGGAGGGGAAAACAUUUGCACAAAAAGUGAAGGAGCUCGCCAAGGUGGUCAACUUGUCCUGUACCCAGAGGUCGCGGAAGGGGUGGCCAUCCCCAGAGGUCACAGAAGCUGAAGAGCCUGGACCAAUGAGCUCAGCAGUCCCAGGAACAUGGUUUCUUGAAAUGGAAAGAGUUGGGGGAGAAUUUGGCAGCAUUGAUGGUUCCAGCAAAUGAGGACUCCAUUUGCAGCUGGUGUUAAUCCAGGAUUGAAUAUCUGAAUUUAAAGUCAAGUUAAAGCUCAAUGUUUGGAACUGUGUUUAAUUGAAGAUGAGACAGAAGACAUCAGAACUGUUUGAAAUUUUCAAGUUUUACUAUACAAUAAAAUGAAGGAUUCAGCUCUUGUCUCAAAGGAUUAACCAAGAUGGUAUUCUUAAAAAUUCCUGGCUUCUAUGAAAUUCUCCAAUUACAGAAUUUUCUUUCAUUACUCUUGAAUUCAUCAUGAAAACCUGCUUUGAAACACAAUUUGCUGAAAUACUGAAAAUGAAUUUCAAAUUAAAUAGGAAUAGUUGUAUACUAAUAUGAUGCAAUGACAUUUCACAUUUUUCCAUGUUAAAAACUGUUCUGAACUCUAAAUCUUUUAAAUAAAUGAUACUGAAA
rnacentral:lncRNA from 1 species